ensembl:snRNA U1 U1 spliceosomal RNA
AUACUUCCUUGGCAGGGGAGAUACCAUGGCCACGAAGGUGGUUUUCCCAGGGUGAGGCUUAUCCAUUGCACUCUGGUUGUGCUGAGCCCUGAGAUUUCCCCAAAUGUUGAAAACUCGACUGCAUAACUUGUGAUAUUGGGGGACUGCAUUCACGUGCUCCCCUG